rnacentral:rRNA from 1 species
UCAAAGGAGCAAUCCGGAUAAAGAUGGGCUCGCGUCCGAUUAGCUAGUUGGUGAGAUAACAGCCCACCAAGGCGACGAUCGGUAGCCGACCUGAGAGGGUGAUCGGCCACAUUGGAACUGAGAGACGGUCCAGACUCCUACGGGAGGCAGCAGUGGGGAAUAUUGGGCAAUGGGCGAAAGCCUGACCCAGCAACGCCGCGUGAGGGAAGAAGGGUUUCGGCUCGUAAACCUCUGUCCUAUGGGACGAAGGAAGUGACGGUACCAUAGGAGGAAGCCCCGGCUAACUACGUGCCAGCAGCCGCGGUAAUACGUAGGGGGCGAGCGUUGUCCGGAAUGAUUGGGCGUAAAGGGCGCGUAGGCGGCCUGCUAAGUCUGAAGUGAAAGUCCUGCUUUCAAGGUGGGAAGUGCUUUGGAUACUGGUGGGCUGGAGUGCAGGAGAGGAAAGCGGAAUUACCGGUGUAGCGGUGAAAUGCGUAGAGAUCGGUAGGAACGCCAGUGGCGAAGGCGGCUUUCUGGACUGAAACUGACGCUGAGGCGCGAAAGCGUGGGGAGCAAACAGGAUUAGAUACCCUGGUAGUCCACGCGGUAAACGAUGAAUACUAGGUGUAGGAGGUAUCGACCCCUUCUGUGCC